rnacentral:rRNA from 1 species
AUUGAACGCUGGCGGCAGGCCUAACACAUGCAAGUCGAGCGGAGCGGCGGACGGGAGAGUAAUGCCUAGGAAUCUACCUGGUAGUGGGGGAUCCCGUCCGGAAAGGGGCGCUAAUACCGCAUACUAUCAGAUGAGCCUAGGUCGGAUUAGCUAGUUGGUGGGGUAAAGGCCUACCAUGGCGACGAUCCAAAACCGGUCUGAGAGGAUGAUCAGCCACACUGGAACUGAGACACGGUCCAGACUCCUACGGGAGGCAGCAGUAGGGAAUAUUGGACAAUGGGCGAAAGCCUGACCCAGCCAUGCCGCGUGAGUGAAGAAGGUCUUCGGAUUGUAAAGCACUUUAAGUAGGGAGGCGUUACCAACAGAAAAAGCACCGGCUAACUACGUGCCAGCAGCCGCGGUAAUUC